rnacentral:rRNA from 1 species
CCCGCUGAACUUAAGCAUAUCAAUAAGCGGAGGAAAAGAAACCAACAGGGAUUGCCUUAGUAACGGCGAGUGAAGCGGCAAAAGCUCAAAUUUGAAAUCGGCCCCCAGGUCGAGUUGUAAUUUGUAGAUUGUAUCUUGAGAGCGGAUUAAAGUCUGUUGGAACACAGCGCCUUAGAGGGUGACAGCCCCGUAAAAUCUAUUCUCAUUGUAA